GGCCCUACACAAAACCAUCC
rnacentral:piRNA from 1 species